AUUGAACGCUGGCGGCAGGCCUAACACAUGCAAGUCGAGCGAGCGGCGGACGGGUGAGUAAUGUCUGGGAAACUGCCUGAUGUAUGGGGAUAACUACUGGAAACGGUAGCUAAUACCGCAUACCAUCAGAUGUGCCCAGAUGGGAUUAGCUAGUAGGGGGGGUAACGGGUCACCUAGGCGACGCUCCCUAGCUGUGCUGAGAGGAUGACCAGCGACACUGGAAAUGAGACACGGUCCAGACUCCUACGGGGGGCAGCAGUGGGGAAUAUUGCACAAUGGGCGCAAGCCUGAUGCAGCCAAGCCGGGUGUGUGAAGAAGGCCUUCGGGUUUUAAAGCACUUUAAGCGGGGAGGCGUUACCCGCAGAAGAAGCACCGGCUAACUCCGUGCCAGCAGCCGCGGUAAUUC
rnacentral:rRNA from 1 species